UACGUAGGCAGCGAGCGUUGUUCGGAGUUACUGGGCGUAAAGGGUGUGUAGGCGGUUUUCUAAGUUUGGUGUGAAAUCUCCCGGCUUAACCGGGAGGGUGCGCCGAAAACUGGGAGACUAGAGUGCGGGAUGGGAGAGUAGAAUUCCUGGUGUAGCGGUGAAAUGCGUAGAUAUCAGGAGGAAUACCGGUGGUGCAGACGGCUCUCUGGACCGCAACUGACGCUGAGACACGAAAGCGUGGGUAGCAAACAGG
rnacentral:rRNA from 1 species